ACACCAAGUUGCCCUUACGUUUCAGCCCUCUGAUAUGAUGAGACAAAUCCAUCCCGCAUGCCUUUUUUUUUUUUUUCUUCUUUUUCUUUCGCUGACCUGAUCCGAUUAUCAGCCCUGUUCUAAUUAUAAUAUACCAAAGGGAUCUGCUCCCCCCUCAGAUCUCUCGUCGGAGAUCAGACGCCCUGCCCUACCCUGCCUGAGCUGGAGAUUACUUCAUUCCAGCAUGGGCUGACGAAGUACUACUCAUUACAAACAUGCCACACUGCAAAAAAAAAAAAGGCUUCGGGAGGCCCGUCUGCGCCGGGCAAUUUUUACAAGUGUGGCUUUUUUUGUUGUCUUACUGCCGUAUGCUUUUCUAUCUCUAAAUGAAACUCUAAAUAAAACUCUGCACCAAAAGUGAGCUGUUAUGCCGGUACAGAAAAGUGGACAUUUUUGCUUCUAUGAGAGGGGGAAAAAAGAAAAAAAAGAGAGGGGGGGACUACUCCGUAGUAGUACCCUAAUUUCAAGUGGGCAAGUGGGUAGCAUUGAUGCAUUGCCAGGAAUGUUCGAAUUCACAUGUUGAACUGGGAAUGAUAAUAAGAAUAAAAAAUGACUUUUUGGCCGAAGUAUGGAGUCUUGUGGAUACUACUACAGACACGAAGACGGACUACAGUAUAAUAAUAAUAAUUACUGUAUUGUCCUUCAUUUUCUCCCAGGCAAUAAUGCUUCGUGCGCCCGUUUAUAUCCACGUGAUCAAUGGUAUUUCCAAUGCCAUGACAGCCUAAAGAAAUAUAUUCAACCCCAUAAACAGAAAUGGAAACCUAGCAUAGUAUCGAAACUAUUAACAAUCUGGAUGAGAAAUACCAAUUCAUAUACAUAGAGAGAUAUACGGAAUCCUGUAUAUAUUUCCUUUCAGCUUCAUCCGUGUGGCUGAGUAAAGAUGGGUGACUCUGAAGCACAGCAAUUAAUAUCGUUGGCAGGAGAAUAAGAAAAUAAGAAAAUAGGAAAAAUAAAAGGCUAAGAAUACAAUAUAUGCACACAUCUGGUUCAAGCAUGUAACGGCGCCUGGCGCGUGGGCUGGAAGAACCAUGGAAAAGAGAAAGCUCCAAAAUAACGCGGGCCAGGUCGCAAGUUUGCCGUUCACCCCUUCACCGGUGCGGCGAUAACAAAAACUUGGCAUAUAUAUGUACUGUACUAAAGGCGUAGCAGUAUAAAGCAAAACAGAAGGGGGAAUAAAGUUAGUGUAUAAUAUAUGCAAUGAAGUAAAGAUAUGUAAAAGAAAAUAAAUAAAAACUAAAAAGGGAGGUAAGUAAUGGGUCAAAAAUAAUAAUAAAAAAAGUUAAUAAAUAAAAGAGGAAAGAAAUAGUAAAGAAGGGAAAUUUAAGAGACGAAGCUAAAGGAGUAAAUAGGAGUAAUAUAAGGUAUCCUUAUUAUAAACGCCGUUGGCCAGCAAACAAUAGAUUGAGAUGGUGAGAGUACGUGCGAAAGAGAACGAAGAAUUAGAUAUGUAGAACUAUGAUAUUUCGGGGUAUCUUUCAAAGGUCGUCAUGAGCGCCAUUUGUACCAGUGGAUUUCUUGCGACCGAAGAUACCUCGAGCGCGUGAUUUGGUGCGUAACUGGCCAGGUGCGGGGGAGUUGAGACUUGGUGUCGGUGGCAGCGUGUCAUCAUCGGACAUGUACUUGGGUUUGUAUAUCCAACUGUUUCCAACCAUGCUCAUGCCCUUACUUUCCGCCAUUCGAUAAUAUUUGGCCGCUUUCUUCAGGUCCUUUUUGCAACCUAGACCUUCGACAUAACAAAAGCCGGCUUCCGCAAGGGCAUCCACAUCUCCCCAAUGGCCCGCUAUUUCGAAGCAGCGCAGAGCGAGAGCCUUAUCUUGUUCUAUCCCCCAUCCAUUCAGAUGGCUCACACCCAAUUCAUAAAUACUGAGCGCAAAUUGCGCCUGGCGGGCCUUGUUCUCCUGGAUAUUCCUCCCACGAGACUGAGAGUUGGUAGCAUCCAGAAUAGCAGAAUCGGCUGCUUUGCGAAGCCAUUGAACACCCUCCCGUUGGUUGGGCCUCAUGCCCCAUCCAUGGCGACAGGCGAGAGCGUAUAGAAGCAUACCCGUCGGCUCAUUUUGCAUGGCUG
rnacentral:sRNA from 1 species